rnacentral:rRNA from 1 species
CCUACGGGAGGCAGCAGUGGGGAAUAUUGCACAAUGGGCGAAAGCCUGAUGCAGCAACGCCGCGUGAAGGAAGAAGGGUUUCGGCUCGGAAACUUCUAUCAACAGGGACGAAAGAAACGCCGCUACCUGAGUUAGAAGCCUCGGCGAACUACGUGCCAGCAGCCGCGGCAAUACGGAGGGCGCAAGCGGUAUGCGGAAUUACUGGGUGUAAGGGGUGAGUAGGCGGCAUGGGCAGCCAGAUGGGAAAGCCUUGGGCUUAACCCGAGGAUUGCAUUUGGAACUAGCAAGCUAGAGUACAGGAGAGGAAAGCGGAAUGCGUAGUGUAGCGGUGAAAUGCGUAGAUAUUAGGAAGAACACCAGUGGCGAAGGCGGCUUUCUGGACUGAAACUGACGCUGAGGCACGAAAGCGUGGGGAGCGAACAGGAUUAGAUACCCCUGUAGUC